UACGGAGGGGGCGAGCGUUGUUCGGAAUCAUUGGGCGUAAAGAGCGUGUAGGCGGUCCGGUAAGUCCGCUGUGAAAGUCGGGGGCUCAACCCUCGAAUGCCGGUGGAUACUGUCGGGCUAGAGUGCGGAAGAGGCGAGUGGAAUUCCUGGUGUAGCGGUGAAAUGCGCAGAUAUCAGGAGGAACACCGGUGGCGAAGGCGGGACUCUGGGCCGAUACUGACGCUGAGGAGCGAAAGCGUGGGGAGCGAACAGG
rnacentral:rRNA from 1 species